CCCUUCGGGGAGCGGGUCACUGGCCUCCUAUGUUCCUAACGGUCCUCAUCCGCGAGGGUGGGGAAUCAACCGCUAGGAUCGUUUACUUUGAGGAAAUUAGAGUGUUCAAAGCAGGCGUAACUCGCCUCCGAAUACGUUAGCAUGGGAUAAUGGAAUACGACUUCGGUCUUGUUUCGUUGGUUUCGCUUGGCUGAAGUAAUGAUUGAUAGGGACAGUUGGGGGCAUUAGUAUUUAGUUGUCAGAGGUGAAAUUCUAGGAUUUACUAAAGACUGACCAAUGCGAAAGCAUUUGCCAAGGAUGUUUUCAUUAAUCAAGAACGAAAGUAGGGGGAUCGAAGACGAUCAGAUACCGUCGUAGUCUCUACCGUAAACUAUGCCGACCAGGGAUCCGGAGAGUUUGCAUGGAUGACUCCCCGGGCACCUUGUGAGAAAUCAUAAGUGUUUGGGUUUUGGGGGGAGUAUGGUCGCAAGGCUGAAACUUAAAGGAAUUGACGGAAGGGCACCACCAGGAGUGGAACCUGCGGCUUAAUUUGACUCAACA
rnacentral:rRNA from 1 species